GAAACUGCGAAUGGCUCAUUAAAUCAGUUAUCGUUUAUUUGAUAGUACCUUACCACUUGGAUAACCGUGGUAAUUCUAGAGCUAAUACAUGCUAAAAACCUCGACUUCGGAAGGGGUGUGUUUAUUAGAUAAAAAACCAAUGCCCUUCGGGGCUCUUUGGUGAUUCAUGAUAACCUAACGGAUCGCAUGGCCUUGCGCUGGCGACGGUUCAUUCAAAUUUCUGCCCUAUCAACUUUCGAUGGUAAGGUAUUGGCUUACCAUGGUUUCAACGGGUAACGGGGAAUUAGGGUUCGAUUCCGGAGAGGGAGCCUGAGAAACGGCUACCACAUCCAAGGAAGGCAGCAGGCGCGCAAAUUACCCAAUCCCGACACGGGGAGGUAGUGACAAUAAAUACUGAUACAGGGCUCUUUUGGGUCUUGUAAUUGGAAUGAGUACAAUUUAAACCCCUUAACGAGGAACAAUUGGAGGGCAAGUCUGGUGCCAGCAGCCGCGGUAAUUCCAGCUCCAAUAGCGUAUAUUAAAGUUGUUGCAGUUAAAAAGCUCGUAGUUGAAACUUGGGUCUGGCUAGCGGGUCCGCCUCACCGCGUGCACUUGUCCGGCUGGACCUUUCCUUCUGGAGAACCUCAUGCCCUUCACUGGGUGUGUUGGGGAACCAGGACUUUUACUUUGAAAAAAUUAGAGUGUUCAAAGCAGGCCUUUGCUCGAAUACGUUAGCAUGGAAUAAUAGAAUAGGACGUGCGGUCCUAUUUUGUUGGUUUCUAGGAUCGCCGUAAUGAUUAAUAGGGAUAGUCGGGGGCAUCAGUAUUCAAUUGUCAGAGGUGAGAUUCUUGGAUUUAUUGAAGACUAACUACUGCGAAAGCAUUUGCCAAGGAUGUUUUCAUUAAUCAGUGAACGACAGUUGGGGGAUCGAAGGACGAUCAGAUACCGUCGUAAUCUCAACCGUAAACUAUGCCGACCAGGGAUCGAGGCGAUGUUUUCUAUCAUGACUCGCUCGGCACAUACGAGAAUCCAAGU
rnacentral:rRNA from 1 species